rnacentral:lncRNA from 1 species
CUGGGUAAAUAUUGGUAACAAUAUUGCUUUUAGUAAUGUCUGAUAACUCAAAGCUUAUAUUUAUAAUUGUAGCCUAUUAAUUUAUUUCCCCAUAUUUGAACAAAAUAAAAGCGUGUUCAGAGAUGAUUACCUCUCCGGACCAACACUCCCUCAAAGAUGAUGGUGUUGCUAGAGUUGUUGGUCCAGAACGUUGCGGACGAUUAAGAGGUCUUGGUUUCAGUGCGACUCCUUCAAAAUUGAAUGCUUUGGUGCAUAAUUAUAACUUGCAAACUCAAGUCCAAGAAUUGAGAGAUGAAAUUAAAGAAUUCAAAGCUUUGUUUCAAAUGAAGAGUAAGAUUGUUGUACAAGAAGAUGACGUAAGUAAAAAAGGCUGAAUGUUAUUCUAAAUUACAUAUACUUUCUAUAUUCAAAAUAAUAAAUUGUACAAUUGCAUAUGAAUUUUAUAGCUUAGAGACAGAAGCUUGAAUGGUUCAGAUAACCUUCAAAAUAAGAAAUGCAAAUUGUUAUCUUGGUUUGGGAAAGCUGAUAUUGUUGCAAAAGGUGAAAUCGCAUCAACAAAUCCAAGUGAUUUAGUGCAUCAUGUACCACUUGGUAAUGAAUGUUUGAGAGCUUGGGUUAAUGAAGUGAUUGAUAACAUCAGUUUAUAUCGUCCUACACGUGAGCUUUUUCUUCUUGAAGAUGCAUUAGGAAGUACAAUAGCAUGGCCCAUUAGGUACAUCGAAGUGGAUUCGUUGUAAUCACAACAAAGGUAUGCUUGACUUCUUUUCUAUUUUAAUUCCAUUUACAUUUACAUUGAAUCUCAAUUGAAGACUAGGUUGCUUAAAAUCAAGAAGUUGAUGGGCGGUUGAUUCGAUAUGACACUUUUUGAGAAGUAUUGAGAUGAAUUUGUUUUGAAUGUUAUACAGAAAUGUACAGAGCUUUCCAUUUGAUAUGGUUUGG